GUGAAACACAUCAUGACAACUGAGUGCACGAGUCUUAUUCGGGAUGAAAGUGACAUGAAAAUCUUGAUGUACCCGGCUCUAAAGCUCUACAUGGCACUUGGUCCCAAAGUCAUCGACUUGACCGCCUUUUUGUCUUUCUGUCCGGUUCGGCUGAAAUAUCAAUAUCUAAAAUCGGCAGUGAUUAGGAUUUCGCAGUUGACUCCCAACAUCGAAGAGCUUUUGCUGUCGAGCAAAACCCCCCGGUACUACAGAAAUUUCGAUUCGAUCGUGGAUGCUGAGAUGUUGAAGGCGCUGUACCGGCUUACAAAUCUGCGGGUUCUUCAGCUGGAUGAAUGGUGCAGCUUCGAACUCAAAGACGCACUCAAACUGUGCGAAAAUCUACCGGGGUUGCAAGUCCUAAGCAUCAACUUCCCAGACAGCUUUAAUGAUUACGACGAUUUUGAUGAUGAUUGUGACAAAUGCGCGGCAGUGUUAAAAAGAUGCAUGUCGAAUUUGAAAGAAUUUAUCUACACGACAAGGGAAAAUACCACUCUUAGAACAGAGUGCAUGAGGAAUCUUUCGAAUCUUCAGGUUCUUCAUGAGUAUUCUGAUCUCUUCCGCCCAAAGGAAGACUACGACCCCUCUACUCCAAACGAAGUAGUCCCUGGAUACUCAAAUCUUCAACACUUUUAUAUCCACUUAAAUAUGGACAUCAUAAAGGAGGACGUUCACUUAAAAAAUCCUCACACCAGACACAUUAUGGUAUAAAAAUUAAAUUAAUUUUUUUGCUAAUAUAUAUUUUGAUAAUUUCAAGUCCUUUGCUUAUGUAAAUGUUUCAGAUGCUUUGGUUUUGGGAUCCAGAUAUUGUGUGGGAUUAUUGGAAAAAUGUUUUGAACUUCUCCAAUAUUGAGAGCUUGACUUUCCUUGGCUUCCCGCAAGACGUUAUGUUCCGCUUUAUUGACACUUACGGAGCUAAAUUAAAUGCACUGAGCAUCCAUCACGACAACCGCGAGAUGGAACCGUUCCUGAACUUAAAUCGCAUGUUCACUGCGUGCCCAUUGCUUGAGAGACUACGAUUGUGUCUAGUUAUCAACGACCCAGAGCCGAUCACCUUUUACGCUCGUCUCAAAGAAGUCGAAUUGAAUUUUACGUUUACGGACGGAAGCAGGGACGAGAUGGUGAAUAUUUUGAGUGCACCAGACUUGGAGAAAGUCGUAUUGAGCAACCCAUGCCUCGAAGAUCUGAUAAAGCUAACUUCAAAAGUCGCCAAGAAAGAAAUCCUGCAGAAGGUCAAGACUCUCGUCAUUGAACUGGAGAUAAUUUCUUUUGCUCUUUUCGCCAACGUGGACCAAUUUAAAGUAAUCGUUGAGUUCAUCAAAUGCGCGGCAGCUUGCCUUAGUAAUUUGACAAAUUUAAAGUUCUACUUGAAUGAAAGAUGGAGUGAAUAUUCAACGCUGGCAAAAAGUUUGAGAAAUGAAAGGACGACAAAUGAAGAAUAUCCAGAUGUAACUGACUUUUUCUCAGGCGCAGAUAUUAAUAACGAAUCAGCCAGCUGGUUCGUGGAUGAAAAACUCAUAAACAUUCUUGACAGCUAUACUGAAAGUGGAAUUUUGAUUGGAGACAAAAUUAAAUAUGUUUUGU